GAAUCAUCUGCAUGAAACUCGAAUAGGUAGGAUAAGCGCGCCUGUGCGAGAAAUAAUCCCGGAAUAUUUUUUUUCCUCCAGCGUAGUGACUCCGUAGGUAGGUAGGUAGCGAUCCUAUUGGCUGCACACCGUAACAAAUUAUGCGACCAUCUCCACCGUUACAAUUAGACGAUCUAUCAUCGCGUUUAGGGCUCGUUAUUAACCGACGUACGCGUGUACAUCGUCCAACAUAUUUAUGAGUUGGACUGCUCCAGGAUAUAACGGCACUUAACAAUAUUACGUCUAGGUAUCCGCGACACGUAACAAAUACGUACGUUUGUAUCGUUUAUUAGAGAACACUUUAUAUCCUUCGUUAUCUUAAAACAGGACGGUCUCCGUCGAUAAAGUCGUUCGCGAAAUGCGUUCGCAAAAACUUCGAGGCACUUCAUUCGACUCCCGUUUCAACCGUUGACCAAUCGGACGGUUAAUAACCAUCGCUCACGUAUCCAUUCCUAUUCGAGGAUUCGUUUUCCCGCGUAUAAUUCCGAAAGAUCGUCCAUCUUACUUGUGGUUAUCAAUUACCAUCCGACUGGGAUCAUUCUCGUACGUAAUUCGAGCGCACACACACAUCCUUUCUUACUUCUGUAAUUGCUUUCGUCCGAUUCUCACGCGAAAUUCGAACGAAUCAACGGUUUUACCGACGCUGCUCGCGAUGAGUGCGAAUAAAGUACAAGAGGUUAAGCGUUUGAAGAAACCUGGCACGUAAAAAGUCGGACAAUGGAACGCUUGUUAACAUGUUCACGCACGAAGAUCGACUAUCGAAACAUCGAUAACAUCGAGGUUACGCGGAGAGCAAAAUUUUCUGCAAAAUUUUCUAGCAAAAUGUACGGAAACAAAACACCAUCGUUCGAGGACAUCGAGAGUUUCGAUAUCAAUCACAAUAAAGAAGAAACAAUGAGAUAUUACGUCAUAUUGUUAUUCGAUUCAAUGGAAGAGCAUCCCCUGCCGUUAAUAGGAUUAAAAUUAAAAACGAGGAAAAUAGAAAAUUGUAACGACACACUGAAUUUAUCUUUUCGUUACUCUUUUUUGUAAAUUUGACGUCAAAUUUAAAUUAGAUUAAAUUCGAAAUCUCGAUCAUCUCGUUUAAAUUCCCAAAAUUUACAUCAUAACAACGUUACAACAUCAUUACAACGUUAUUAUCUUAUAAAAUUAUUGUCAGAUAAUCAGAUUAUAUAAAGUACGCAUACAGAUGUAUACACAAAUGGUUGAAGAUAUAUCAUGACGUUUGUAUUUUUAAUUUUAACUUUAAUAUUAUUAUUAGAUUUCUGAUAAUAAAUAACGCAUUGAUAUCGUUAA